rnacentral:rRNA from 1 species
ACGAACGCUGGCGGCGUGCUUCACCCAUGCCAGUCGAACGGAAAGGCCCUGCUUUUGUGGGGUGCUCGAGUGGCGAACGGGUGAGUAACACGUGAGUAACCUGCCCUUGACUUUGGGAUAACUUCAAGAAACUGGGGCUAAUACCGGAUAGGAGCUCCUGCUGCAUGGUGGGGGUUGGAAAGUUUCGGCGGUUGGGGAUGGACUCGCGGCUUAUCAGCUUGUUGGUGGGGUAGUGGCUUACCAAGGCUUUGACGGGUAGCCGGCCUGAGAGGGUGACCGGCCACAUUGGGACUGAGAUACGGCCCAGACUCCUACGGGAGGCAGCAGUGGGGAAUAUUGCACAAUGGGCGGAAGCCUGAUGCAGCAACGCCGCGUGCGGGAUGACGGCCUUCGGGUUGUAAACCGCUUUCGCCUGUGACGAAGCGUGAGUGACGGUAAUGGGUAAAGAAGCACCGGCUAACUACGUG